AGAGUCCAGCAAGGAGGUCUGGGAUUCACACUGAGCACAUGUGUCUGCCCAGGCUUGGGAUGUUUUCUGGGAAGGACUACCUGAAAUUCAUCACGGGUUGUCUCCAGCAUGGCCGAAAGCAGUUCAAGGCAAAACCCGUUUUGAUGAUUUGGGAAUAAAAACAAAUGUAUGAGGGGAAAGGAAACUCAGAAGAGGAAUAAAAUCUAAAAUCAGGGUUUCUCUGUGAAGCCUUGGCUGUUCUGAGAUUUGCUGCAUAUACUAGGCUGUCCUCAAACACAAAAGGUCUGCAUGCCUCUGACUCCCGAAUUUUAGGAUUAAAAGCUUGGGAUGUUUUCUGGGAUGGACUACCUGAAAUUCGUCACGUCUACAUCCAUAUGUGUGAAAGUGCAUGAGGAGGACAUGGAAUGAUACCACAUAUCUUGCUACAAAUAUGUAUAAACAGUUGCUGUUUGUGGUCCCCCUCGCACCCACGAAUAACUGGGUCCUGCUGGAUGGAACAACACAUGCCAUUUAGAAUGUAACACCAUGUUUCUGCAGUUGAAAGAAGCGUUUGUGAGUAUAAUCAAUAAUUAAUUGCAUUUCCUAUUUUUGUAUUCUGAACAAAAUUCAUUAAGUCAUUAUUUUUGAAUUUUUAUCCUCACAUCUAAUUUUUUUUCUUUUUGCUAUGGCAUUAUUACCAAUCACCCACAAUGCUUCUCUUCUAAAUGUGUCUACAUUCAUUAAUUCUUUUUUAUCGCAUGAGCUACCUGAAUUCUAUUAAAGGAGACGGUCCACUCUCUGAGGCCAGUCCCUUCCCCAUUUAUCACAUUUCAUUUCCCCAUCUUCUGACUGUACUGAGGCUGCUGUCUGAGGGCCCGAAGACCUCUGGAAGGGCAUUUAACACAGAUCUGGGCCUUUAUCUAGGACAUGACAUCUACACCAGGCUUCCACUAUUCACUGCUUGGGUUUCCUCAGUCAUUUCUGGGUUCUUCACUGGCUCAGUCCUUUAUCAUCCUCUUUUCUGGGGUCAUUCAGUCUUAGGCAUUGUUUCAGCUGCAGGCACAUCGGACUCCAAAUCUGUAAUCCAGCCAAACUUCUAUCCUAGUCUGACUCUUUCCAACCUUCAACUCAGUAUUUCUGCUUGGAUGUCUCUUUGGAACCCUGGACAUGGCAUUGGCCCUCCACCUUAUCAUCAUCUUAUGCACUUUGGUGAAUGGUCAUUUUAGGCUUCCAGUUAUUCUUGACACCACCAUAGCUCUUCAAUUUUCAAUAUUUCACGCACUGUGAGAAAUCCGUGACUUGAUCUUCAAAGCAGACCCUGAAUCUUACCACUUCUUAUUUAUUCCAUUUCUACCUACGAAACACUCUUUGCCUAGCUGGUUGUGACAUCUUCCACACUAAACUCUCCUGCUAUUAUCCCAGUCUUCUCUUAUACAAGUCUGCCCUUUGCCCUUCCUAAUUCCACACAGAGGUUAGAGUGAACCUCCCUCAUAAUGCAUUGAUGAAUUACUAUGCCACUUAGGGUCAUAACUCCUGUUCUCCCAGUGGCCCCCAUGUCUUACACGGAGUUCCACACUCACCUUUUCUUCUCACUUCUUUCCUUGUUCACUCCUCACCUGUAUACAUUGAGCCUGUUUUCUAGCUGCCACCCUAGAAGGCCAGAAAGUUCUGGUCUCAGGACUUUGUUUUGUUUUGUUUUGUUUUGUUUUGUUUUGUUUUGUUUUGUUUUGUUUUUCGAGACAGGGUUUCUCUUUUAGCUCUGGCUGUCCUGGAACUCACUCUGUAGACCAGGCUGGUCUCGAACUCAGAAAUCUGCCUGCCUCUGCCUCCCGAGUGCUGGGAUUAAAGGUGUGUGCCACCACGCCUGGCUUCAGGACUUUUACAUUCAGGGCUCUUCUGAUAGAAUGUUCUAUCUAUAGUUAUAGCAUAGCUGACCCCGCCCUCCUUCAGCCAUUUUCUCCUGAGUCAUAUUCCUAAGGAUUAUUUCUGUGACUUCUUCAUAAAACGGGAAACUUCCCACACCUUUUCCUUGUCUAGGCUCUUCCAUUUCUGCCUUAUAUUCCAUGCCCAUAACAAUUCUCACAUAUGGCACACUCUAGAUUCCAUUUCAUUUCUUUGUCUGUCUUGGAUUUCAGUGAGAGAGCUCCAAGAGAGCAAGGAUAUUCAUUUCUGUGUCUUGAGACUAUAACGACUCUUUAAGGCACCACCCAGUUGGUAGGUAAAUAUGGUUGUGAAUGGUUUCCUUCCUCUUAUGCUUUCUUCCCAAUAUUUUCUUUGCAAACUAGAAAGAUCUUUCCAAAAACACUUAAUCAAUUAUUUCAUUGUUUCAUUUUAAUAUCAUUCAAUGUGUUUCAGUUUUUCACAGAAUGAAGGCUUAUAUUCCUAGUUGUGGAGUCUUGUCCUCUGGGAGCUGUGCUUGCUGCUUCAUUGCAAAUCAUGACACUUGAUCUCUUAUAUCUAAGCUAGCUACCUUGGAUUCUCUAGAAAGUUUUAUUCUCUACCUACCUCUGCUCCCUCUGGCCAAGCUGUCCCCUCCAAUUAAUGUUUCCCUGAUAUUUUAUAGAAUAAAAAAUAAUUCUAUUUGU
rnacentral:lncRNA from 1 species